GUCAGUUUCUGCCCAAGUUCAAAAUGGAGGCCAUGCACUGACUCCUCCCAAAGGACCCUUCCAAGGAGCCCAGAUCACAAAGCUGUAAGAUUUAUGAAGGAAAGAAGAAAGAAAAAAGUGCUUGUCCAGGAAGGAAAUGCGUUCCUGCUUGGCUUCUCACAGGGACACAGGACUCAGAAACCGCUGCUUCCUGGACCGGACUGUCCACUGUCACUAUCAUCCAUGACAUUCAACAUGGGAGCCACAAAGUGAUCGAAAAUGCAAAGUGCAGCUCUAGCUGUUCCUGCCAGAGAGCCGGAGGGAGCCGGUGUCACACCUACAGCGAACGAGGACCCUGUGGCGCCGGGAGGUCGCCGCGCUCCCAGCCUCGAGGCCCACAGGUUUGCUUGGCUUUACUCAGAAAGUGCUGGGGUUUUUUUCUUUU